GACGAACGCUGGCGGCGUGCUUAACACAUGCAAGUCGAACGGAAAGGCCCUGCUUUUGUUGGUUGCUCGAGUGGCGAACGGGGGAGUAACACGUGAGUAACCUGCCCUUGACUUUGGGAUAACUUCAGGAAACUGGGGCGAAUACCGGAUAGGAUCUCCUGCUGCAUGGUGGGGGUUGGAAAGUUUCGGCGGUUGGGUAUGGACUCGCGGCUUAUCAGCUUGUUGGUGGGGUAGUGGCUUACCAAGGCUUUGACGGGUAGCCGGCCUGAGAGGGUGACCGGCCACAUUGGGACUGAGAUACGGCCCAGACUCCUACGGGAGGCAGCAGUGGGGAAUAUUGCACAAUGGGCGGAAGCCUGAUGCAGCAACGCCGCGUGCGGGAUGACGGCCUUCGGGUUGUAAACCGCUUUCGCCUGUGACGAAGCGUGAGUGACGGUAAUGGGUAAAGAAGCACCGGCUAACUACGUG
rnacentral:rRNA from 1 species